CUGUCUAUUAAUAAUAUAUUUAACUUACUAAAGAGGUGUAAAUACCUCUAUGAUAAUAGAAGACGAGACGACCCUAGAAAUUUUAUAUAAAGUGUAUUAUAUAUUUAUACUAUCAUUUUGUUGGGGCGACAGAAUAGCAAAUAACCUAUUUUAAGUAAUACAUGAAGUUUUUAUAAAGACAGUAAAAAUUGCUCGAGUGAUAACCCCCUCCUUAUUUUAUUUAUUUGGACCCACAAAAUGGAGUGCGGGCGGUGCUUGUCUCAGGAUGAACACCUCACCCACAGUUCAAAAAAAAUAGUACGGCAUACCGCUGGAG
rnacentral:rRNA from 1 species